rnacentral:rRNA from 1 species
AUUGAACGCUGGCGGCAUGCCUAACACAUGCAAGUCGAACGAGUGGCGGACGGGUGAGUAAUGUCUGGGAAACUGCCCGAUGGAGGGGGAUAACUACUGGAAACGGUAGCUAAUACCGCAUACCAUCGGAUGUUCCCAGAUGGGAUUAGCUAGUAGGUGGGGUAAAGGCGCACCUAGGCGACGAUCCCUAGCUGGUCUGAGAGGAUGACGAGGCACACGGGAACGGGGAAACGGUACAGACUCAUACGGGAGGCAGCAGUGGGGAAUAGGGCACAAUGGGCGAAAGCCUGAUGCAGCCAUGCCGCGGGUAUGAGGAAGGCCGUCGGGUUGUAAGGUACUUUCAGCGGGGGGGCGUUACCCGCAGAAGAAGCACCGGCUAACUCCGUGCCAGCAGCCGCGGUAAUAC